rnacentral:rRNA from 1 species
AUUGAACGCUGGCGGCAGGCCUAACACAUGCAAGUCGAGCGAGCGGCGGGCGGGUGAGUCCUAUAUGUGGGCUGCCAGAUGGAGAGGGCUCACUACAGGAAACGGUAGCUACUACCGCAUACUAUCGGAUUAGCCCGAUGGGAUUAGCUGGUGGGUGGGGUAAUGGCUCACCUAGGCGACGAUCCCUAGCUGGUCUGAGAGGUGGAUCAGCCACACUGGAACUGAGACACGGUCCAGACUCCUACGGAGGCAGCAGUGGGGAAUAUUGCACAAUGGGCGAAAGCCUGAUGCAGCCAUGCCGCGUGUAUGAAGAAGGCCUUAGGGUUGUAAAGUACUUUCAGUCGGGAGGCGUUACUGACAGAAGAAGCACCGGCUAACUCCGUGCCAGCAGCCGCGGUAAUUC